rnacentral:rRNA from 1 species
CCAGACUCCUACGGGAGGCAGCAGUGGGGGAUAUUGCACAAUGGAGGGAACUCUGAUGCAGCGACGCCGCGUGAGGGAAGAAGGUUUUCGGAUUGUAAACCUCUGUCUUCGGUGACGAAACGAGACGGUAGCCGAGGAGGAAGCCACGGCUAACUACGUGCCGGCAGCCGCGGUAAUACGUAGGUGGCAAGCGUUGUCCGGAUUUACUGGGUGUAAAGGGGGUGUAGCCGGGCCGGCAAGUCAGAUGUGAAAUCCCAAGGCUCAACCGUGGGACUGCAUUUGAAACUGUUGGUCUUGAGUAUCGGAGAGGCAGGCGGAAUUCCUAGUGUAGCGGUGAAAUGCGUAGAUAUUAGGAGGAACACCAGUGGCGAAGGCGGCCUGCUGGACGACAACUGACGGUGAGGCGCGAAAGCGUGGGGAGCAAACAGGAUUAGAUACCCUAGUAAC